rnacentral:lncRNA from 1 species
UGAGGAGGAAAUAACGUUUCAUAACUUUAAAAUCACUGUCAAAAUUCUCAAGAAAUCAUAAUUAAUUACAAUGUUGAUAUUAAAAAAAAAAAUCAUCUUAUUGAAACAUUCUUCUCCUCUCUUUGAAAUUCAAAAGAAUAUCACCCAUCGUAUGACCAAACAACUCCAUCCCUUCAUCUUUCAGAAUUUCUUUAAAAUCUUCUAAAUUUUUAGUGUUGCAAGAACUCUCAAACCUUAACGAAUGUAGUGGAACUUCUUUGACAAUGUAAUGUAUAUCCUGCAUUGAAAUACAUAAAAAAUAAAGCAGUUAGUAAUCGACUUGGUUAGUAGUCAUAGUGACUGUGAUACAUCCAUUUUUUGAAGUUAUUAGGUGGAGAUACAUAAUUCUAUUUGAGAUUAAAGAGAAAUAACUAAUUAAUAUUAUGCCCCAUGUAUGAAAUUAAUAUUAAUUAUCUCAAUAUCAAAAUUUAUUACUGAGAUACAUUCAUUUUUUAAAACUAUUUAGUCGAUAUGCAUAACACAAUAAUUAAACUGAAAAGAGAUACAUAAUUAAAAUUAUGUCUCAUGCAUGAAAAUGAUGUCAUUUAUGAAUCUCAGCAGUAAAAAUUAUGUAUCUGACGAUUUUUUUUAAUUCGAUACAUAUGUAUAAUACCUUUUGGAGUAUGUCUUUUGAUUUUUUCAAUAGCUUUGUGUUUUGAAGGACCAAUUUUUCCUUUCAAAGAAGCAGAACUCCGUUUUUCUUUGAUUUAGCACCAUCAAUGACGACAUCGGGAGUUGAAUCGAUUUCCUCCACUGAUGGUGUUUGGUGCGGUGAUGUUGGUGGUAUCAAUGAUAAAUCAUUUUCUUGAAAAAAGAAGAAAGAAAAGCCAAUAAAUUCCUCCCACAAAUUUCAAUGAUAAAUCGUUUGAUUUAACACUAUCAAUGGCGACAUCAAUGAUGAAUUAUUUUCUUGAAAAGGAAGGAAGAAAAGCUAAGAAAUUUCUUCCGCAAAU